rnacentral:rRNA from 1 species
UACGGAGGGUGCAAGCGUUAUCCGGAUUCACUGGGUUUAAAGGGAGCGUAGGCGGACUUAUAAGUCAGUGGUGAAAGCCGAUAGCUUAACUAUCGAAUUGCCAUUGAUACUGUAGGUCUAGAGUACAGAUGAUGUUGGCGGAAUAUGACAUGUAGCGGUGAAAUGCAUAGAUAUGUCAUAGAACACCGAUUGCGAAGGCAGCUGACAAAACUGUAACUGACGCUGAGGCUCGAAAGUGCGGGGAUCAAACAGG